rnacentral:snoRNA from 13 species
AAGACUAUACUUUCAGGGAUCAUUUCUAUAGUUCUUGACUUGAGAAAUGUGUUUCUAAAGUGUUAGAUCUCGUAACCCACGAUGAUGAGAUGCGAUAUUCCCUUCUGAGCGCG